rnacentral:rRNA from 2 species
UGGGCGUAAGCGCGCGCAGGCGGUUUCUUAAGUCUGAUGUGAAAGCCCACGCCUCAACCGUGGAGGGUCAUUGGAAACUGGGGAACUUGAGUGCAGAAGAGAAAAGCGGAAUUCCACGUGUAGCGGUGAAAUGCGUAGAGAUGUGGAGGAACACCAGUGGCGAAGGCGGCUUUUUGGUCUGUAACUGACGCUGAGGCGCGAAAGCGUGGGGAGCAAACAGGAUUAGAUACCCUGGUAGUCCACGCCGUAAACGAUGAGUGCUAAGUGUUAGAGGGUUUCCGCCCUUUAGUGCUGCAGCUAACGCAUUAAGCACUCCGCCUGGGGAGUACGGUCGCAAGACUGAAACUCAAAGGAAUUGACGGGGGCCCGCACAAGCGGUGGAGCAUGUGGUUUAAUUCUAAGCAACGCGAAGAACCUUACCAGGUCUUGGCGUCCUCUGACAACUCUAGAGAUAGAGCGUUCCCCUUCGGGGGACAGAGUGACAGGUGGUGCAUGGUU